rnacentral:rRNA from 1 species
UGCAGUCGAGUGCGCGGUUGUAGCAAUACAACUGGCGCACGGCGCACGGGUGCGUAACACGUGGGUAACCUGCCCUUUGGUGGGGAAUAACUCCGCGAAAGCGGAGCUAAUUCCGCAUAAGAUCCGCAAGGAUGAAAGCAGCAAUGCGCCGAAGGAGGGGCCCGCGCCCGAUUAGCUAGUUGGUGAGGUAAUGGCUCACCAAGGCAUUGAUCGGUAGCUGGUCUGAGAGGAUGAUCAGCCACACUGGAACUGAGACACGGUCCAGACUCCUACGGGAGGCAGCAGUGGGGAAUCUUGCACAAUGGGCGAAAGCCUGAUGCAGCGACGCCGCGUGGGGGAUGAAGCAUUUCGGUGUGUAAACCCCUUUCGAUCCGGACGAAACCCCGCAAGGGAUUGACGGUACGGAUAUAAGAAGCCCCGGCUAACUACGUGCCAGCAGCCGCGGUAAGACGUAGGGGGCCAGCGUUGUUCGGAAUUACUGGGUGUAAAGGGUUCGUAGGCGGUGCGGCAAGUUGGGAGUGAAAUCUCUGGGCUUAACCCAGAGGCUGCUUCCAAAACUGCUGUGCUUGAGUGUGGGAGAGGCGCGUGGAAUUGCAGGUGUAGCGGUGAAAUGCGUAGAUAUCUGCAGGAACACCCGUGGCGAAAGCGGCGCGCUGGACCACUACUGACGCUGAGGAACGAAAGCUAGGGGAGCAAACAGGAUUAGAUACC